rnacentral:pre_miRNA from 1 species
GUCUCCUGGGCCUGCUGUGCUGAAUAUCAGUGCUCUCAGUCUAGCUGGCUCAGUUCAGCAGGAACAGGAGC